rnacentral:rRNA from 1 species
UUUAAUUGAAGAGUUUGAUCAUGGCUCAGAUUGAACGCUGGCGGCAGGCCUAACACAUGCAAGUCGAGCGGCAGCACAGAGGAACUUGUUCCUUGGGUGGCGAGCGGCGGACGGGUGAGUAAUGCCUGGGAAAUUGCCCGGUAGAGGGGGAUAACCAUUGGAAACGAUGGCUAAUACCGCAUAACCUCGCAAGAGCAAAGCAGGGGACCUUCGGGCCUUGCGCUACCGGAUAUGCCCAGGUGGGAUUAGCUAGUUGGUGAGGUAAGGGCUCACCAAGGCGACGAUCCCUAGCUGGUCUGAGAGGAUGAUC